rnacentral:tRNA from 1 species
ACAGCUCAGUCGGUAGAGCAUGAGACACUUAAAUCUCAGGGUUGUGAGUUCAAGCCCCACAUGGGGUG